GUUGAGAGUGGUUUUCAGUUAUUUUUUCAUUUGAAGUGGAAUUCAAAACAGCAGGGGCAUAAAGCCCAGAUACAGACAGAAGAGAAAAGAAAAGGGUCCCCGGAGAUUGCCAUUCACCUUCCACGAGUACUUUUUACAUCUGUUGUAUCAUUUACCACCACCCUCCUGGACUCUAGUCCAUCCAUUGCCUGUCUACUCCUUCGUUGGUCCCCAUUCCCCUUUGAAGACCCACACCUCGUUUCCUCUCUUCUCUGGCCAUGCGAGUUGACGGGACUCCCAAACCUGAUUUUAGAGAGAGUGUGAGCUGCUGGGCACCAUCGCAUGGAGACUGAGGAUGAAGCUCACUCCUCCUGUAGCCCGCUGAGCAACGGAGACAAACCAAAGCUGACGAUACCAUCCGAGCACCGUAC
rnacentral:lncRNA from 1 species